ACUCAUACCUUGUAGUGGGAAUACCGUGGUCAUGAAAGUGCUUUUCCCAGGGUGAGUCUCAUCCAUUGCACUUCAGGUGUGCUGAUCCCUGUGAUUUCCCCAAAUGUGGGGAACUGAUCUGAAUAAUUUGUGGUAAUGGAGGACUGCAUUUGUGCUUUCCCUGA
rnacentral:snRNA from 1 species